rnacentral:tRNA from 1 species
GGAAAUGUGGCUUAGUGGUAGAGUGCUUGUCUAGCAUGCAUGAAGCCCUGGGUUCAAUUCCUCAGUACCA